GAAAUACUCCCUCCGUCCCAAAAUUCUUGUCUUAGAUUUGUUUAGAUAUGAAUGUAUCUAGUCAAGUUUUAGUAUUUAGAUACAUCCAUUUCUCGACAAAGUUAAGACAAGAAUUUUGAGACGGAGGAAGUAAUAA
rnacentral:pre_miRNA from 1 species